UACAGAGGGUGCAAGCGUUGUUCGGAAUUAUUGGGCGUAAAGCGCGUGUAGGCGGCUUUGCAAGUCGGAUGUGAAAUCCCCAGGCUCAACUUGGGAACUGCAUCCGAUACUGGAUGGCUUGAAUUCGGGAGAGGGAUGCAGAAUUCCAGGUGUAGCGGUGAAAUGCGUAGAUAUCUGGAGGAAUACCGGUGGCGAAGGCGGCAUCCUGGACCGACAUUGACGCUGAGGAGCGAAAGCCAGGGGAGCAAACGGG
rnacentral:rRNA from 1 species